rnacentral:rRNA from 1 species
UACGAAGGGGGCUAGCGUUGCUCGGAAUCACUGGGCGUAAAGGGUGCGUAGGCGGAUCUUUAAGUCAGGGGUGAAAUCCUGGAGCUCAACUCCAGAACUGCCUUUGAUACUGAGAAGCUUGAGUCCGGGAGAGGUGAGUGGAACUGCGAGUGUAGAGGUGAAAUUCGUAGAUAUUCGCAAGAACACCAGUGGCGAAGGCGGCUCACUGGCCCGGUACUGACGCUGAGGUGCGAAAGCGUGGGGAGCAAACAGG